UUUUUACCUUAAUAUUAUCCUUUUUUUUUCCUUUUUCAUUUCUUAAACCCACUAAACCCUCCCCUUAUCCUCUCUCUCUCACCACAAUGCUCACUACAGCAGCAGCUAUGAUGGCCGGCUCAGCCACUCCCUUCCCGUCGACCUCCGUAUAUCUCGCCGCUGGCGAACUGUCCUUAUCAAUCCCAGUACCUAAACCAACAAAUUUCGCCGGCCGUUCAUCCACUUUCCGCCGCAACUCCAUCCUCCAUUCCAUCCGGGUCGAGAAUCCAAAUUCGGGUCGGGUCAAUACUAUCGUGUGCAAAGCUAACCGGUCCGCAUACUCGCCACUGAACUCCGGGUCGAACUACGGCGACCGUCCACCGACUGAGAUGGCUCCGCUUUUCCCCGGGUGUGAUUACGAACACUGGCUUAUAGUUAUGGAUAAGCCCGGAGGUGAAGGUGCUACUAAACAGCAGAUGAUUGAUUGUUACAUACAAACAUUGGCUAAAGUAGUUGGGAGUGAAGAAGAGGCCAAGAAGAAGAUAUACAAUGUUUCAUGCGAAAGAUACUUCGGUUUUGGAUGUGAGAUUGAUGAGGAGACAUCGAAUAAGCUUGAAGGUUUGCCUGGUGUUCUCUUUGUCCUACCAGAUUCAUAUGUCGAUCCUGAGAACAAGGAUUAUGGAGCUGAGCUAUUUGUGAACGGAGAGAUAGUUCAAAGAUCACCUGAAAGACAAAAGAGAGUGGAGCCAGUACCCCAGAGAGCUCAAGACAGACCCAGAUAUAACGACCGAACACGUUAUGUGAGACGCCGUGAGAACACACGGUGAAGAUAGUAUUGCAACAACUAUGCCUCAAUCCCAAACAAGUUAGGGAAAAAGAUCUUGAUUGUGGAAAGAUGAUUUAUCGGUUGUUCUGUUAAUUAUUGUUCUGUGCUAAUGGAACGCUUGAUGAUUUUGUUUGAAAUCUUUAAAACAUAGGUACUUGAUAGUCAUGCAAG
rnacentral:misc_RNA from 1 species